rnacentral:rRNA from 1 species
ACGACUCUCGGCAACGGAUAUCUCGGCUCUCGCAUCGAUGAAGAACGUAGCGAAAUGCGAUACCUGGUGUGAAUUGCAGAAUCCCGCAAACCAUCGAGUCUUUGAACGCAAGUUGCGCCCGAGGCCACUCGGCUGAGGGCACGCCUGCCUGGGCGUCACGC